UACGUAGGGCGCAAGCGUGUCCGGAAUUAUUUGGGCGUAAAGAGCUCGUAGGCGGCUUGUUGCGUCGAACCGUGAAAACCCCGCGGCUUAACCGUGGGCUUGCGGUCGAUACGGGCGGGCUGGAGUUCGGUAGGGGAGACUGGAAUUCCUGGUGUAGCGGUGAAAUGCGCAGAUAUCAGGAGGAACACCGGUGGCGAAGGCGGGUCUCUGGGCCGAUACUGACGCUGAGGAGCGAAAGCGUGGGGAGCGAACAGG
rnacentral:rRNA from 1 species